GUACUACAGCUCCCAACAUGCUCCUGUAGCCGCUUUGCAAAAUGCCAUAGAGCCGUGUUCGGUUACCAAUAUGAAGCGGAGCAGUAGAAAAGCGGGACGCCUAGAGUGGCUCCACAUUUCGCAGACGUAAGAAAAGAACUAGAGUAAACCACAUUAUUUUCUCGAUGGGUCACUUGCGGGUUAAAUCGGAGAAUCAGUGUUUUUGUUCCGGGGCAGAACAAAGGUCAUAGUCAUAGACAUUAAUAGAGAAAGACAAGAUUUUAGCUUCCCUGUGAUCGAACAGCAGAGUAUCCACCUCAGAGCUGUCAACCUUCCCUUUUUUGCGUGAAUUCCCUUAUUCCAGCGCCGUUUCCUUGCUGCUGUAUCCCUUUGCCGGGUCGCUGCGCUGUGGGAACCACCACUUGAGGCUUCGUUUGGCUGCUGGCUGGGCUUUCAAUUCUGCCUUUGGGCCUUUGGCUCGGAGGGGCUCGGGACGUACCUGUGCUCGGAAUUGGAUGGAUACUAACAUCGAAGGCCCACUCACCCUUGCCGAGGAUAAGAAAGAGAUGGAUGGAGGUGGAGAAGACAUUUCUUCGAAAAAAGCAAAAAAGUUGUGCAAGUAUCUUGAGAAAUGGGAAAGCGAAUUUAGCUUCGUGAAGAAGAGCAGAGUGGGACACGGUCACGCAUUCUGCACAAUUUGCAGUUGUAAUUUUAGUGUCUCCCACGGGGGAAGGAGCGAUGUCACUCAGCAUAAAAAAUCGGCCAAGCACAAGCGCGGGCUAGAGGCACAGAAACAUGCCCCGACAACGUCUGCAUUUGUGACUAGGAAUACCACAGAGGCUGACCAGGUCAUAAAAGCAGAGUUCGCAAUGGCCAUGCUGUGUGCCAAAAACAACAUUUCUUUAACCUUCUGCGACAACUUCAAAAAGUGUGUGGCUGACAUGUUCCCGGACUCUGCCAUUGCACAAAAAUAUUCUGUGGGGAAAACCAAAACUACGCAAAUCAUAAAGGGUGCCAUAGCAGCAGAGCUAGAUGACGAGUUGGCCAAUUCCACCUAGAAACUAAAAGAAGAAGGAAAGAGUUUUCUAGGUCAAGCAAAAAUGUGAUUUUUGAAUAGUUGUUGGGGUUUUUUAGGAAUAUAUUUUUUAUAUUUUAAAUCCUAAAAUACUACAGUAUUAUUAUUGAUACCACCACCACAACAUCGUGAUGAUUUCGCCACUCUUAGAAAUAACUUCACUUAUGUAAUGUUACUACUAACUUGUGACUUAAAUAUUAAAUAAAUAUGAGUGGGUGGUGACAAAGCAUUGAUAAGGAAGUGUCCUGCUUAUGUUGAUUCCCAUGUCAAAUAGAAUCCUUAAUUCAUUCAAUACCAACAACAACCAUGAAAUAAUGACAGUUUGCUGCCCUUUCAUAACACCCAACAGCAGGUGAUGACCGCAUUCUGUCUAAUGUGGAGAUGGGAAACCUGUAGCCCUCCAGAUAUGGCUGGACCACAACUCCCAUUACGCCUUGCCAUAGUGCAUUGCCUUACUCCAGUGGAAACAAGAAAUGUGGAUCCUAUUGUCCUUGCUUACUUUUCCUAUCUGUAUGAUGAGUAGAUCAUAUGGCUUCAAUUCCCAACAUGGCUCACAAAGUUAAAUCUCAGUCUGAUCUAACUUCAGUCCAGAGGUGGGAGCUGUUUUCUGCAAAACCUGCCUUGGAGGGAACAUAGUCCUAAAGAAAGCAGGCCUAUAUUAAAUAUACUAAGGACAUUGUAACAACAUUUUUUAUUAUAGGAUCUUCUGGACCACUAAAAAGCCACAAUGCAUUUGCUUUUCUAAAUGUCGCAUUUGUUUGUUAUUUUUUCCCUUUUAAAUUUAAUUCUUUUAUAAAUAGUUAUGAAAAAUACUGCAAUUUUUUUAAGGGCCAAGAAGAAGCAGAAUAAUGUUUGCAGUGUAUGAUACAGUAUGUGGUGUGACAUCAGUGCAGCUCUGCCAACUAAUAAUGUGAGUUGAGGAGGCGAGGCAAAUCACAUUGACCGUUGUUUGUUUGUUUAAUUUAACCCUAAGUGAAACUGAUAUCAUGGAAACAUACUAUUUCACAGUACAUAACUUACUUUAUGAAUUUUGCUGCCUCUGAAUGUCUUGAUGGCCUUAGGUGGUUUUAAAAGUGGAUUAGAUGAAUAAAUAGAGAAUAGAUCUACCAAUGGUUACUCGUCAUAAGGUCUUUGUCAAAUACCAGUUGAUGGGGAGCAGGAGUAAGCUAUUGCCUUCAUGCUCUGCUUCUGGGCUUUGCUGGAGCAUAUGAUUGACUACUGUAAGAAAUAGGAUGUUAUGGUCAUGCUUUGCAUGCAGUUGAUCCCAGGUUCAAUCCUUGACAUCUGUCCGAAACUCUGGAAACCACUGCCAGUCAGUAGAGAUAGUACUGAGCUAGAUGCAGGGCCAACCAUACCAUUAGAUAAACUGAGUUAGGCGCCUUAGACAGCUUCUUUUGGAUGUCAUAAUAGGGGCAGCAAGUGGUCAGUUGUUUAAUUUCUUUUAUUGCAGUUGUACUCCCAAGGAGGGUGAUAGGCACUUGUGGGGGAGCUCUGCCUUCAGGUGCCAAAAUUACUUGACUGGCCUCAGAUGUUAUGCACCAGAAGCUGGAGGAGGAGGCGUGGAGAACCAUUUGCCGCUCUGCCUCAGGCAGCAAAAUGUCUUGGGUCUGUCCUGACUAGAUGAAUUUGUGGGUUAGUGUAAGGCAGCUUCCUGUACUCCUGCCUAUUAAAUAGGAGCAGUGUCUCCUUUCCCAUGAAAGGUGUAUCUGUGCCAGUGGGACUUAUUUGGGAGGAGCAAAGGAUUUUGUAGUGACAGAUAAAAUAACAGAAUUCCUAAGUGAUACCUCUUUUUUUACACUCCCAUACUUUCCCAAGUGGUUGAUAUUCCUGGGCAAUAUUCAACAGUGUGCUUUUAAGAGGAGAAACUUAUUUCUUAAUAUUUAGUGCUGAGUCAAAAAAAAUAAAUCCCAGGAUUUCCCCCAUCCCCAACCAUUCUCCAUCACAAUGUACGUUAGACUAAGUCCAGUCUUUAUUGAGCAUUUUUUUCUGAUUUGUUAAGUUAUACAACAUUCAUUCAAAAUUCAUUCUGAUUUGAUUGUGUGAUGGUUAAUCAUCCAGGUUAAUUGUUUGUUCAUCUCACACUUUCAGUUCUUCCACAUCACUUUUCUAAUUGCAACAUUCCUUUAAAAGGGGGGUGGCGGGAUUUAUUGCACUAGAGCACUGUAAUCCACUUUAAUUGCACUAACCUACAUUUGUAGUUUGUGCCUGAAUCCCUCCUGCAAAAGAUGGACAGUCUGAAGGCAACCCUAGAGAGGGGCCUGCUUUGCAUAAUCACGAGCAAAUUUAUUACACCUCCUUGCUGCUUUCAAGGAAAGCUAUCACAAGCAUUUGAUGGGUGACAUUUGCCAUAGUCUUCUGUGACAGCUGUUUGGCAUGACAGGGGCACAACUGUCUCCUAUAGAUAGGAAAGGCAGAGCUGCCUCUAUUAAUAAAGUGUGGUGGUGUGAGGUUGCAAAUUCAUCCCAUGGCUUUGAUAACCCUAGAGCAAGGCCUCGCACCCGAGGGCACGUUUCAGAGCAGAGACAGAAGGUGGGUGCCAGAGGGGCAGAAGGCUGUGCGUUUACUUCAUACCACAACCGUCCAAAAUCUGCACCCAAGCAAGUUUAAUUUUGUGAGCCAGUGUGGUAUAGUGGUUAGUGAGUUGGAUUGGGGCCUAGGGAGAGCAGGGUUCAAAUCCCAACUCAGCCAUCCAAAUGAAUCAAUCAUACUCAUCUCCAAAUGCAGCUAGGAGAGAACAAUGGAGAGCUGCUGCCACCAGAUUGGUAGAUCUACUGAGCUAGAUGGACUAAUGCAGAGCUGCCAUUCUAUACAAGGCCGCUUCAUGGCAAGAGGGAGAUUGGCUUGGCUCCUUCCAUCACCUGGUGUCAGCUCAGUUGCUCCUAUGCCUGUUUUCCCUCUUCCCUUUCCUUCCCUUUCCUUUUUCCUCCUGUAUCAUGCCUACUAGAUCGUGAAUCUGCAGACAGGAACCGUCUUACCUUUUAAAAUUGUAGAUGUUGAGGAUAAUGAUUAGAGGAGGAAUUGUUCAUAAGACCGUAAAGUCCAAAGUUGGAUAAUUACCCAACUAUCCCACUGCCUUUCUGGGUAACAGAAAAGCUGAGUAGAAAAACUACCCCCCUGGAUGAGGGGCCCACCCCAAACGGCACUUCAUACCUGCGCUUUAAGCUGUAAUUGGUGCUUAUACUGAACGGAUACUCUUGACUCCCAAAUGUUUAACUUGGGGGAUUUCUGUUUAUCACUGGACUUAACCCAGGAUACUUUAGGGCUUUGCAAAUCAACAAUGGCUCACCUUUUUCUCUUGUGCAGCCAAGGAAUGUUCCCUGGUCUUUGAAGAGUGGCAGACGGCCCCAAUACCACCCUUAAUAUAACCAAGGGGCCUUGCUCUUACAUGGGGAAAAAUGUUUCUCUGUAAUUUAUGGGGCUUUUAAACUAGGUGGGGUCCUUUUUGUGCUUGACGAAAACAGCAUAAGGAGGAAGGAAUGCCACAUCAAUGCAUACCCUCCCCUUCCCCUCCAAAAUAAAUGAGUGGGAUUGAAAACAUAAUGAGAAUUUCCAGAGAUGGGGUUGAUGGGUGAGUUCCUCCUCUCUGUUAGUUUCCUCUAGGGAAGGGAGAGCUGAAGGGGAUAAUGGCAUCAAUGGGGGGUGAACACUAUAGAGAAAACACAGAUGCAACUUAGUUUUUGCUGAUGCUGCAAAUAGCAUUUAAAUAUAUCUAUGUAUAUCAGAUUAGCUUGGUUGGGAAUGGAUUUUGGAUUGGUUUUGUUAGUGUAGUUACAUUAUCCACACAUCACAGCAGCAAGCAAGACUUUGAGCCACUCUGGUCUCAUUUCUGUGGUAUUUUUUAAUCGUCAGUCCAAUACAGAGAACUGACAAACAGGUAAAGAAGUACAGUGGUACCUUGGUUUAAGAACAGCUUAGUUUAUGAACAACUUGGAUUAAGAACACUGCAAACCCAGAAGUAGGUGUUUUGGUUUGUGAACUUUGCCUUGGAAUAAGAACAUGUUUCGCUUCCUGUUGAGUGUGUUCCAUUUAUAAAUUGAGUCCCCCGCUGCUAUGGGAAAGUACGCCUUGGUUUAAGAACAUUUUGGUUUAAGAAUGGACUUCCUGAAUGGAUUAAGUUCAUAAACCAGGGUACCAUUGUACUUUCUUUCCUACACUUGCCCUUUGCUGCUAUGCUCAGAAGCUGUGAGGUUAGGAGUUUAAAAUAUAAACUGCUAUUCUUCUCAGAAAACUACAAAAGGAUACAUUUUUAAAUGACCAUCACCACAGGUGAUGGGUGAACUCUCCUUUGCUCAAACAAAGAUGGUCUUGGCUUUGUUCUCUCCCAUCUUGUAAUGAUAGUGCACGAGUGCUGAUGGUGGUCCACAUGAACCUUGUUGCGUUGUUCCCUGGGAAUUAAUUGAUCUGAGCACCAACGAUGAAAGAAAAAUUCAACUGCCUCCCCCCUCAAAACAUAUAUGGGAGCGGGAUGAGUGGCAGCAACUGAGAGAAGUACGGUAAUAAAGAGAAUUGACUUAUUGUAAACAUUACAGAAUGUGUCCCUUUCGGCCUCUCUUCGUGGCCUUUUUGACCUUCCUCUGGAUACACCCAUCGCCAGCCCUGCUCCACACCAUCCUUUAUUGCUUUUACCUGGCUGGAAAGUGUCCUUGAGCUCUGAUAAAGACUUGCAUGGUGGAUGGAGGGCAAAGAGGGGUGUGUAUAAAAAGUAGCCUAGUGAAAGGUAACUUCUACAUCCAUUGCUGGGAAUCAGAAGUGGGGGGCUUGUUUGGCCACUAUGAGAACAAGAUGCUGGACUAGCAGGGCUCUCAUUACAUGAUUUCUUGAAAAAAGAAAAAUGGAUAAGCUGAUGAACAUAUCACACACAAAUGUUAAUGCAGUGCUAAUUCAUAUAUGUAUGGCAGGCAGCCCACCUUUAAGUGUAGAGGAGGGAGAAGAGUGAUGGCUGAGUCAGUAACUGGUUUCCACACCUGCCAUUUCUGCACUGCAGCUGGGCUCACCUCACAGCUGAAUGGCGUGCCCUGACCUCUCUUUUUUUGCUCCAGCUGCCUCCAUUCCUUUUCUUGUUCUCCCCCAUGCAGCCAUUUGGAACUUUAGCUGGAAUCUAUCAGCCUGAGGACGAAUGGUUCUUGGGGCUUUUGUUUUCCUUUUUACGCAGGUGGGAGCCUUUCUUUCUCACCUACAGAAAAUGCUGACAGUAAAACUGCAGUUUCCAUUGUGGGUGAGGAACAGGCCAAAGCACGUUGACUCUGGUUCCUCUUGGCCAAGCUCAGGCUCCAAGGGUCUCGUCAAGUUAUGGAUAUGCCAGAAGUCCUGGCUUCUCAUCCAAACAGCUGCGGGGGGGAAGGGGGGAGGCAGCUAGAUCCCCCCAGCAGACCUCUGGAGUUUUCCAUGUGCUACGUGUUGGCCAUCCAUUACUUCAUAGCCAUUCCUGCUGUCUGGCACAGAGAAAAAGCAGAUGGCAAGGACCUGUGGCACUGUCAGAUCCGAUCAGACCCAGCUGGUGUUUUUAGCCAGAGUUUUUUUGGGGUGUGUGUGUGGAUGUGAUCUGGAUUACAUCCCAACCUGCAAUGCCCAUAUCUGCUUUGCGUGCAGAAGGUCUCAAGUUCAGACCCUGACAUCUCCAGGUAAGGCUGGGAAAGGAGCACUGCCUGAAACCCAGGAGAACCACUGCCAGUCAGUGUAGACAAUGCCUGUCUCUUUUUCUGCAUCCGUUUUGUGUUAUGGCAGCCAUUUUGGGGCUGGUGCCAGCCAUGGCACUUUCUCAAAAUUCUGAAUGUGCCCACUGGCCUAGGAAAGCUGGUGACCCCUGCUCAACAGUCUAACAUACUAUUUCCAUAUCUUCCAUAUCAGCCAGCUCUGAGCCUGGAACCUGUCUGGAUCAUUGCAAGAUUCGAGGGUCAUGACAAAAAUAGCCUCCCAUUGGCUUCAUUGGGAGCAGGGUCAGGAGGUUAGUCCAUGGGCCAGGGGCAGAUCCCCACUAGACCACAUCUAGCCCAUGGGCUGGAAGUUCCCCAUCCCGGCUCUUACCAUUAUACUCACUCGGACUCCAAUGUUUGGCUGGCAGCAGCUUCCUCUAGCUCCAUACCCGUGUAGAAGUGAAGCCAGAACAACAAUUGCUUGAGAUUGUGAUCACAGCGACUGUUGUAAAAACCAAGCAGUCAUUCCAGAGGUGUAUCCAAAUUCAAUCCUGUAUUUCAGCCAAAAUCUAUUCAUCAUAACCAGGGUCACUUUCCAAACUGAGAGUGGAAGCCUGAAUGUAUAGAAAUUAUAUGUUUAAUGUACAUGACAUAAUCCCCCAAGUUGGCAAUCACAAUUUCAGUUUCCAGAGAAGACUUGGAUAUUAUCCUGCUUGAGUAUGAAAGAUUAUCCUCAAGUCAGUGUUCUUCUGGACCGUGGAUUGGCAUCUGUGGUGUGCUGGAGUCUGUUAGAGAUGAUAGUACAAAGUCUUCUAGCAGCAGAGUCUGACCUGGUGAGAAAAAAUACUUUGUUUACCCCUUGGAGGCAGAGAGAUGGGGGAGGGGGCCCCAGAAGCCCCUUUAAUUGAGCAUUUAUCAUGAUUUGAAUUCAUGUUGGUAUUGGAGCAGCUACACACGAGUCUACUUUCAGGACACUUUGGUGCAAUCCACACACGUAUAAAAACCAUUCUGAAAAUGCUUUUUUUAAAAGCAUUUUUUUUAAAAAAAAUACAUUGAAUUUUCCAUAAGGCAUCUAGUGUCACAUUGUAUAUUGCACUUAAAACACACUUAAAAUGUUUUAUUUGCAGCUGUAUAGCUGAUUCCUUUGUGCCUGCAAAAGUGUGGUGGACAUACUGCUUUGUUUCCAAUCAACGCAUCACCUGCAAAUUCCUGCUGAAAUCCUGUACCUUUUUACACAAUAAAUGUUCUGGCUUAUUUCUGAACCUGCUUUUGUUGUGCUACAGGGUAAUUCUUGGGCCUGGAGGCAGCUUCUAGACCAAGCAUCUGUUCUGUUGUGGAUUUUUCUCCAAAUGUCCACACACUACGUUCAGCCUGGAUAAGGAGCCGUGUACUGUAAUUUAAAAUGCUCUAGAGCUGGACAGAAAUAUUACCCCCGAUGACCUCUAAAUCAGAGUGAUUAUGCUAGCCAAAAUAUUUGUGUUUCAGAGAUAUUAAUGAGCAUAGCCACACACACAAACAUCUCGCAAAAUUUAAAAUAUGCAAGGGGCCAGUGAUCCAGAUGAACUAUUUUGCAAGAUAUUUCUCAGGAGGAGGGGGAAUGAAGGGCAGAAUGGGUUGUUUAAAACGAGGACUCUUGACCACUUAAAGUAGUACUAGCUUAUUAACUGUAUACCCUUGAAUUGACUAUUUAAUCAUCUCCAUUUUACAUAAAUUUCAUACUCCCAAAGGCUCAGCAAAAAUACAUUUUUUAAUAUAUUGAAGGAAAUGUGAGAACGUACAACAUUUUAAAACUCUGCAACUAGAAAGGGGGAAAGGCAAGGAGGGGACAUUACAGAGGUAUAUAAAAUUAUGCAUAGUAUGAAGAAAGUAGAUACAUAAAUGUAUUUCUCUCUCAUAAUACUAGAACUCCAAGAUAACUAAUAAGGCUAAACGUUGGAAGAUUCAGGACGGAUAAAGAAAAUACUUCACACAGCAUAUAGUUAAAAAACUAUGGAAUUUGCUCCCACAAUACGUAGUGAUAGCCACCACCUUGGAUUGCUCUGAAAGAUUAAAAAAAAUCACAGAGGGUAAAGCUAUCAAUAGCUGCUGGCCAUGAUUGCUAUGUUGUGCCUCCACUGUUGGAGGCAGUAUUCCUCAGACUGCCAGAUGCUGGAAAUCACAAGAGGGGACAGUGCUUUUGUACUUGUGUCAAGUUUAUGGGUUUCCCAAAGGCAUCUGGUUGGCAACUGUUUGAACAAGGAGGCCGGACUAGAUGGGUGUCUGAGGUUCUUUAUAUUAAAUAGAAGAAAAUGCCAUUUUAAAGUUUGUUUUCAAAGAAGGACUUCAGUUUCAUUUAAUAUCCCAAACUUUUGGGGGCCUACAACAUUUCCCAGACUUUGGCCCAAGAUGAAGUGUCAUAAAGACAGGAUGUCCAAAAUUUGGGGGGGGGGACAGAAAGAGGCAAAUUGAAUAGCACUUUGUAAGAAACAAAUUCACCUGGGCAGAGAUCCAAGUCAGAAAACAUUGUUGCACGCCACCCCAGUCUCUGAGUGGUGCAAGAUUCCAGGGGUUCCAAGCGCCUACCCAAGGUUCAGUUUCCUUGGAAUGAGGGGAUACCAGAGACUGUGGUGUCUUUAUGCUAUACAGUGGUACCUCGGGUUACAGACACUUCAGGUUACAGACUCUGCUAACCCAGAAAAAGUACCUCGGGUUAAGAACGUUGCUUCAGGAUGAGAACAGAAAUCGUGCGGCAGCAGGAGGCCCCAUUAGCUAAAGUGAUACCUCAGGUUAAGAACAUUUCAGGUUAAGAACGGACCUCCAGAACGAAUUAAGUUCUUAACCUGAGGUCCCACUGUAAGGUUUAUUUACACAUAUAUACAACCUGAGCCUACAUUGGAGGGGCUCACAACAUUAACACCCUAAGAGGGUCUUGAUCAGGCAUCCCCAAACUGCGGCCCUCCAGAUGUUUUGGCCUACAACUCCCAUGAUUCCUAGCUAAGAGGACCAGUGGUCAGGGAUGAUGGGAAUUGUAGUCCAAAACAUCUGGAGGGCCGAAGUCUGGGGAUGUCUGGUCUUGAUUCUCUCAUAACUACAGCCUUGGAUUCGAACAGAAAUCAGACAUGUCUCUCCCUCUCAGGCUUCUGCCUGCAGCCUGCUUCUAACUUCUAGUCCUCUCACACACCUCAACUCUGGCUUUUGUCCUUCUAACUACUAGCCAGUUGAGGGAGGAGAGCCCACCCAUUUUCCUCUGGUACAGAGCUACUUCCUUCAUUAAUGACCUGUACCUAGGGGCCGUUACCAAUAAGAUUGCCUGGCUAUCCCAACAAUUGAAUCCUUGUUGGAUCCAGGAAUUAGAAGGGACUCAGGCAUGCAGCCUAACCCCCCCACCCCCACAACUCACAACAACAUAGAGGUGGGAAUCAAAACAGCCUUCCCCCACUUCGAAAUCUCAUCAUGCCAAAUUCCUUCUUAUGCCAGGAGGCCCCCAACAUAGCUGGAACUCUGAAGCAGGAAGUCCUGGGACUUUGUUAUUAGAUAGAAGAUGACUAGAUAAAACACUGAACUCCUCUAAGAGGCUCAUACAGCCACAGUUAAUGACUUAUUUUUCCCCCACCCGACUCCACAUUUCCCCUGUGAGCAAUUCUAUGUGAAACUGCACCAUGUUAGCAAUUCUCAUAUCAAAAAACACUAGGGGUGUGCACAGGCCCCAGGGUUCACCUUAAAAAAAAUCCUAUAUGUUUGUUCUUUGCUUUGUAGUUUGGGAUUUGAGCCAUUGUGUCAAAAUAAAGCCCCGUGUUCCCUCUUCACUCUUUAUGUGGUUCUAAAAACUCUUAUAACUUUUCCCCCCAUUUGGCAGAAAUAGAUGAAAUUUGCCAGCACAAGAACUCCUCCAGAGUGGAUUAAGCCUGCCAAAUUGCAGACAAAUAAGCUCAGAGACUUUUGUGAGGGGAAUUAAAGUGAUUUACUUUACUCCAUGGUCCAUAUUAGGUCAAUGCUUUUAUUAGGCCAAGUAAAACACCAAAAUCGAUGUUAGUUUCACAUUUUUGAGGGGAGCAGGGUUUGUUUCUUGCACUUUCUUUUCCUAAAAUAAUGAAGGGUGGCUGAGUAGCUUGUAUAUUUAAAAUAUAUAUACUGUAUUUGCAGCUUCAUGCUGGCUGUCUUGACUUUCCACGUACUUUUUUUAGUGUCGAGAGAGGAUGCCCUUCAGUAGGCAUUACAGGUGAAAAUAUACUUAGCCUUGGGUGUGAAUGGGAGUUCUGGAGUAUUUUUUUCCCUCCCAUGCAGAAC